UGACCGAAUUAGCCAUGCUAGUCGCACGAGUUCAGACUCGUGGCGAAUAGCUCAGUAACACGUGGCCAAACUACCCUUCGGAACACAAUACCCUCGGGAAACUGAGGCUAAUAGUGUAUACCAUACCACCACUGGAAUGAGUGGUAUGCCAAACGCUCCGGCGCCGAAGGAUGUGGCUGCGGCCGAUUAGGUAGACGGUGGGGUAACGGCCCACCGUGCCAAUAAUCGGUAUGGGUCAUGAGAGUGAGAACCCAGAGACGGAAUCUGAGACAAGAUUCCGGGCCCUACGGGGCGCAGCAGGCGCGAAACCUUUACACUGCACGACAGUGCGAUAGGGGGAUCCCAAGUGCACAGGCAUAGCGCCUGUGCUUUUCGGUACCCUAAGGCGGUACCAGAAUAAGGGCUGGGCAAGACCGGUGCCAGCCGCCGCGGUAAUACCGGCAGCCCAAGUGAUGGCCGAUCUUAUUGGGCCUAAAGCGUCCGUAGCUGGCCGCGCAAGUCCAUCGGGAAAUCCACCUGCUCAACAGGUGGGCGCCCGGUAGAAACUGCGUGGCUUGGGACCGGAAGGCGCGACGGGUACGUCCGGGGUAGGAGUGAAAUCCCGUAAUCCUGGACGGACCGCCGAUGGCGAAAGCACGUCGCGAGAACGGAUCCGACAGUGAGGGACGAAAGCCAGGGUCUCGAACCGGAUUAGAUACCCGG
rnacentral:rRNA from 1 species